rnacentral:lncRNA from 1 species
UCCAGUCCUUAUCUUCAGGUGAAGUCCUUCUUACUUCUACCUUUGUAUUUCCUCUCAUUGUUUUCCCCCAUUCCUUACCUGCAGAACUCUGGUCCCAGUCCUGCCCCCCCACCCCGGUGUCUUUAACAUUCUGGCACUCGAAGACAAGGACCUAGGUGACCGACAACUCACAGCUCAUCAUGAAAGCAUCACAGAAUCAUCAAUCAAGUAUCUGUUGAUUGCUUACCAUGUGGUGAGCACUAUGCUAGGCACUGUGAGUAGAAGAACAUGAUGAAGCCAUCACUGCUCUCAAGGAAUUUACCAUCUACCAGUGGAGACAGCAUGUCCAGAAAUGAAUACAUAUAUAAAGUAAAUCCAAGAUAAUUGGGUAGGGUGGCAAUAGGAGUUGGGGGAAUGUGGACAAUAAUUACUUGGGGAGAACUUUGAAGAAAACAGGGGACUUCAAAAGGUAAGGGUGGAGUGAGGAUGAAGUGCAUCAUAGAAAUAGGUGAUACAAAGCUAAUACAAAG